GCUCACCCUGUCGCAGGGAUUCGAACUGCCGACCUUCUGAGCGGCAAGCCCUAGGCUCUGUGGUUUAACCCGCAUACUUCCAUCCAGUGUUUUCUCGAGGUCUGCAGGUACAGCAUUCUUCAGCUGCCAAAUGGCUGGGUGAGUGGGGAUGUUUUCAAAUUCCUCCUGAAAGUUAAUAAUGAGGGAGGCAGGCACUCCUCUCUAGGAUACAUGGCAACCCUAUCUCAGAAAUCUUGGGGCCGGAGGCAGACAUCUUUCUCCAGGUUCAGAGGCUGGAGAGGUGGCUGAAUACAAUUUUCAGUGGUCAGGAAUGAAGAUCCAGUGCCUUGCAGGACUCCUUGUGGCUAGCGGAAACCGCACGAUUAAAAACUCAAGAUUGCCAAUUCUGCAUAAUGCGUUAUGUAGAACAAAUCUGCAGGUUUGCGUGACAUCUGCCUUUCUUUCGGUGCAGGCCAUUGUUUGUGUAAAUUACACAACCAGCUGGAACAUGCUCAGUUGUCUUCUGGUGUGAGAGUGUGUUGCGUUCGUACGCAUAUAGUUUUGGGUGUGUGGUUUUUUUCAAUUGUGUUAAAACAUGUGUAUUGUACAGGAGGCUUAAAGACAAAGAUUCCGCGGGUGCUGACCUGCAAGGGGAUGCCAGGCUUCCGGGGGUAAAAGGAUUGGAGAAAUGGAGCUGACCUUGGGGAGAAAGUGGGCAAGGUGGAUGUCUGGAGCAGCUGUAAGAAAUGAUACUGAGCCUAGGAGAAAGACGGGAAGGCGUGCAAGUGCUGGAGAUAUACUUGUUGCGUUUUUAUCUUGCCCUUCGCCCAAGGGUGGCAUGCAAGGCCUUUCCAGAUGGGAAAGGAUGGCGCCGUCUCUUUAUGUGAGGUGCUCAAAUGCCAUGUGCUGCGCAAGCAACACGGGAGCAACAGAUGGCUUUGUGAGUCACAUUAGGGAAACCAGAGGGCACCGAAGAAGCCCGGGACCAAUACGAGGAGGCAAGUUCAUGCCUGGCCUUAAGGGCAUGUGAAGAUGUCAGCUGUGCACGUUGCCCCUCGCGCUAAGUUGUGGUGAGGCACAUCACCGUGUGAUAUGCAGGGUCUCUCCACGACCUUUCUGCUGCCCCUUGUGUUCACCCCUUGUGUUCACUCAACUGGGCAGAGAAGGAUUUGUGUUACGUUCCCUUGGCAGUGGUUGAGCAAAGUGGAAGAGAUUCUGUGUGCAGGACUUUGGUGUGUGUGUGUGUGUGUGUGUGAAGGGGGUACUUAUUCCAGAUAAAUUAUUCUGGAAUCUUGUUUUAUUUUAAAGCAUGAUCCUAGGGGAGUGACCUUUUGGUUCUGCGCACCUGGAGGGCAAUACGCAUUUACAAAACCGCAGGAAUACGCAGAUCGGGUUGUGUUUUGUAACCUUUGGGAAACAGUGUGUGGUCUGAAGCAGCUCUUUGUUUUACUGCGUGAAUUGUCCUUGUUUGUGCUGUGAGCGACUGUCUGGCGUGGUGUGGAAGCUAUAUUGUGAGAUGUAGCCUUUGUUAGCAGCACAAAGCCCUUGCAAAAGCAACGCAUGGAGUUGGGAAGUACCAAUUUAUUUAUUUUUUAAGGGUUGUACCUGUGGGCACUGGGCAUGCACUUUUUGGGGCGGGGGCAGCUGCCUGCAUGGGAGGGGCUGCUUCAUUCGCAGACGGGCCAUUUGCCUUGCGCCUCACGUGCCAUUGUCUAGGUACGUACACGCGUGUGGUGCAUCUGUGCUUCAUGCGUACGCUUAAUGUGGAGAGCGUGUGUAUUUCAAAUGUGAACAUGGGGCGCGCGUCUCUCUGGGGCAGACCAAAGGUCUCUUGGCUCCAGCUUUCGGCAACGAUCAGGCAUGAUAGUGAGGGCCAUGCCCAUUUGCCCCAUGUAAUUUAGGAUACACUGGCCCUGUAAAUGGAGGCUCCAUUCCUCUGGCACAGACGGUUCCGGCUUGUGCCUUGCAGCACUUUUUUUGUCAUUUUCACGCGAGGCAGCCAUGCGUGGCUGGCAUGCUCUUGACCUGUGGCGGGCCAUGCAACAUGGCAUGUCUGGCUCUCAGUCCAUGUGGUGUGGCUUGCGUCUUUUGCCUUGCAUUUGCCAGCCGCGUUGUGCCGCGCUGCACGCUCUCUCGUCCGAUGGGUGCAGAGUGUGGCGUGGGUCUGUUUGGGCUCAGCCCCACCUGCCUCGCUCACCUGCCGCUUAUUGUCUCGGUUUGCUGCCAUUUGAAUUUUUCCCAGCCAGCUCCCUCCCUCCCUCUCCGCCGCUCCCUCUUCUCCCCUCCUUCCCUCUCUCUCACUCUCUCUCUCUCUCCGCCCUCCCUGCCGUCUGGAUCCAGGCAAGUCUGAUAAAGUUCCAUUCCAGACAACAGCCGCAUUGCGUUGCUACAGCAUAGACAGCGGCCCAGGGAGAGAGAGAGAGAGAGAGACAUAGAGCCAGAGCUAAGCAAUGAUGGGGAGAAAGAGAGAGGAGAGCAUCCGUCAAUAGGCACAGCCACCCAUGAACCACAGCCAAAGCCAAGGACGGAGGAUGGCAAGCGAGGAGGGCAGAAGGAGAAGAGGACCAGAACAGGUUAACCUUCCCUGCAUGGGGAAUUCACCAGCCCUGACCUGCGGGGUGGGAGAGGGAGGGAAUUGGCAAGGGAAUAAGGAGGACCAGGAUGGAGACCGGAGGAAAGGGGCUGGGUGGGUGAGUGCAAGAAACAGGCGAUGAAGAAUAAGGGGAGGGGAAGGGGCUGACACAGAGCAACAAGGAGGAGAGAGGCGAUGAGGCAGAGGUGCUGGAGAGGAUGGGGGGGGGGACAGGUGGCAUGUCAGGGGCAAGAGGGAUAAGGGGAGAUGGGUCAGCCUUUGCACACAAAGCUUGGGUGGUGAAGGGGAUUGGCAGGUGGGUUAGUGACCUUAAGUUUGGUGGUGAGGAAGGGGGAAUGUGUGGGGUUUUUGUGUAGGAGGAGGCGACUCACCUUCCUUAGAAAGAUGAGAAGCCCGAUAGCUGUGGAAUGCUAAAUUUCCAUCCUGCCUGCCCCCUCCAGGGGCAAGUGGAAGCAAAGAUGAGAACAGAAAGAUGCACUCUUUCUCUGGGGUUCAACAGUUGCCACCUGGGGCAUCUCUCUCUCUCUCUCUUGUUCUCUCUCUCUCUCUCUCUUUCAUAUGUCAUGUGUGUCUUUCUCCAAGGAAGGCGAAAUGCAUGCGCAGUGUCCCCAUCCCUCCCACCCAGCCAAACCAACCGGGGGUUUCUUAGAGAGGUCCCAGCUGCUACCACCCCUGUGGGCACUUCCUGACAUAACGCACCCGUGGACCCAUGACCUCAUUGAGGGAUCCAAUGCGUGACCCCCCCCAAAAAAAAUUUAUUGCCUCCCCCUACUCCAAAAUACAAGAUGGACACGCUGUAUGCGCAUUGGAACGAUUCAUGUGCGUGCACACACGCCUCAGGGGCCACACCCACCCAAGGGAUUCCCAUCCUCAGAUAUACACAAACCUCUUUUGAAAACACUAUUGGGUUCUUCUCUCAGGGGGAAAAAUGUGCACUCUCUUACACACACACACACACACACACACACACACACACACACAAAGAGUCCUCCAGGACCGGUCAAGGAGGAAAAAAUCUGCAUGUGAGGGAGCUGGGUGUGGGUGUGUGUGGGAACAGAAAGACUGAGAAAGCGGUUCUUAAGGUUAUUCAUCACAGAUCGCCUUCUGUUGGGUGCAUGGAUAACUACUGUUUGUGUGUGGUAGGGUGAGCUGGAUUUGGCAAGUUGAAAGCAAUGGGAAUUACAUGGCACAAGUUCCAUAUAACAAGGAGAGAGGGGUGUGUGUGCCGUGCCACAUGCGUGUGCCAUGAAUCAAUCCAUUGUGCACCACGGAGGCAGCGUGCUUGAAAGGGGCAGUUUGGCAGAGGUCUGUGAGUGCGCGGAGAGAGGGUAUUGUUUGCGGAGAGGAUGGCGUGGUUUGCGGGCAGUGGUAUCGAUGUCAAGGUGAAUGCAUAAAAGAGAUCUCUGUGCGGGGAAACGUGUGAGCCUGUGUGUGCCCGGGGUGUGAGUGCGAAGGAGCGGGCAGGCGUGUUUGCUGUGCAUGCCGUGGCUGCAAAUAUUCAAAUCCUUGGUAUUCCUCAGGACAGAACAUGCUCACAUAACACAGACCCCAAGCAAAAGUAUCUGUUGGGGAGUUGGACCCUGUCUCUGACUGGAGUGUCUGCAUCAUAGCAUGUUUGGAAGAUGGCUUGUAUCCGGCACAGUCUUGGGCUGAAGGAAGUUUGGUGUAUGUGUGCCCAUUUGUGUGUGUGUGUGUGUUGUGCAUACAUCAUAAAUUGGCCGUAGAGAGAUUUGUGUACAUGGUUGCUGACUUUGGGGGGCUGGUGGAGUUACCUGCAGAUGGUUGGGGUGGUCCAUUAGAUGUACUUUUUGGAAAACACAAAUGUGCUGGUGCAGGUGUCUCUCCUAUUAUAUCACAGAGCCGUUCGUGAUGUGGCUUUUGGCUCACCACGCCCAACGCCUGUGCCCAGCGACAGCAACAAGAAACACACCCUGACCAGCCCUGAUCAGUGUCCCUCGCCUAACCUAGCGAGUCUCCGUGGAGCUGCUCCCUGUGGACUUCUCAAAGGCCGCAGAGGACUGUUUCACAUGAUGGCUGCAGUCAGGUGCCCACCGCUUCUUUCGGCUUGUGGGUUAGCCAAUAUGCUCACCCUGAGCAGACACUGCCACUUUCUCACGUCGCCUCAGAUCAACGCCCGUUGGCAGCAGACGAGGCAGACAGUCCUCUCACACAAGGGCUGAGUUCAACAGGGCCCCAGAGCCUCUCUUGAACUUUCUGGGCCAGCACAUUUCCCUGACUUGAAGCCUACCCAGAGACUGAGCCGGCCAGAGGAAUCAGCCCGACUGACUGCAUUGAAAUCCACUUCACCAUUCGCAGCAGCAGGGGGACAGGCGCAGUUCUGUGUCCUCUGGCAUAUGCUGGAACAUUCCAGAAAUGUAGGCCCAUCCCUUAUCCAGAGUGUAAGGGAGUCUCUCUGGAAUCUUAGCAGGAACUAAGGCCCAAAAUGCAGAAAUGCCAAGAGCACAGCGGGUACAGGCUGAAGCUGUCCCACCUAUAAAAUGCUACCCAAUAUUGAGGUUGAAACAUCCCGGUGGCUUCUCCUUGCCCACCCACUUUCCACAAACUUCUCAACUGGCGCUUAUCGAAAUGGAGAUCAGGCCCAGGCUUUUCUCCAAAUUGAAAGCAUCCUUUAGAAAACUUUCUAAGAAUGGCGCCCUUCAGAACUUCCAAAUUUCCCACAAUAGUUCUUUUAAUUAAAUGUGUCUUGCCUA